CCUGGCUGGACUCCUGCAAGUGGUGGAGCAGAUUCACCGCACCCCGAGGGUCUAUGCCGCAGCCGUCACGGAGGUGGCUCGCCGGCACGCCUUCUCCAGGGCCUUCCUGCAGUGGGCGUCGGAGCUGAGCAGCCAGAGUGGAGAGGUGUGGAGGCGCGAGGUGGAGGCAAGAAGAGGCUUUUCCCAAGACUUCUCCACCCACUUCCUAGCCUCUCUCUUUCCUGGUAUGGAAGAUCUGCCCCCUAAUUUUGCAACCUCUCUACCAUCCCAGUUUGACAUGGCUCUCCCUAAGGUUACCAAGGAAAAUAUAGAUGAAUUGAGAAGACUGCUGCCAGAACUUUCUCACUGUCUGGUCAUUGGUGAGGUUCUGGCAGUUCCCCCUCUGCUUCGCCAUGUCACAGCUGGCCUCAACACACAGGAGGAGAGGA